GCUAGGCCCCGCCCCCGUGCGCGCCUCCGACGCCGCGCGCCCGCGCCUUCCCAGUGACCCUUCACCCAGGUCAGCGUACAGUUUGACGGCCUCCUGGAGUAGAUUGAAUUCGGACCCACCCUUGGGGGUCCGAUAAAAAGAGAUUUUGCUGUUCCAAGUGUGGUCCUCGGCUCAGGAGCAUUGAUAACCACCCAGAGCUUGUGAGAAAUACAGAACGGCAGCCCCAUCUGCUGAACUACAGACUCGAGGAAUUGCAGUAAGCAUUUCAACAAAAUCCCCAGAGAGAAAGUGCUUGGUCAGCCAAGGAAAAUACUGCAAAUGUUAGCAAGAGACUCUCGUGUGACAGCUUAGUAAACCACUUGUAUUCUGACCCUUUUCUCUGAAGAGUUCAAGUUCAAGUCCCUUCAGGUGGGAUUAAAUCAGGAAGAAAAUAAACAAAAUUUAUGUUAAUACAUAAAUCAAAUUCUUCCCCAUGCAAAUAAAAC
ensembl:lncRNA